AUGAAUUUAAAACUACAUUUGCCAUCCCUGGACAACUGUUGUUGCCAUCAGUGGACACUUGCAGUUGCCAUGGAGAAACAACUGCAGUUGCCAUGCCAGAGCAACUACAGUUGCCAUGUCAUCGCAACUGCAGUUGCCAUGGAGGAACAACUGCGGUUGCCAUGCCGAUGCAACUAUAGUUGCCAUGCCAGUAAAACUGCAGUUGCCACAUCAGGGGCGACUGCAGUUGCCGUGCUAGCACAAACUGCAAAUUGCCAUGAAUUGACCAACCACUACUAUGCUUACAGCGUAUUACGCUGGUGGUGA
rnacentral:rRNA from 1 species